UACGAAGGUGGCAAGCGUUGUUCGGAUUUACUGGGCGUACAGGGAGCGUAGGCGGUUGGAUAAGCCCUCCGUGAAAUCUCCAGGCUUAACCUGGAAAGUGCAGAGGGGACUGUUCAGCUAGAGGAUGGGAGAGGAGCGCGGAAUUCCCGGUGUAGCGGUGAAAUGCGUAGAAAUCGGGAGGAAGGCCGGUGGCGAAGGCGGCGCUCUGGAACAUUUCUGACGCUGAGGCUCGAAAGCGUGGGGAGCAAACAGG
rnacentral:rRNA from 1 species